rnacentral:rRNA from 1 species
AGCGAACGCUGGCGGCAGGCCUAACACAUGCAAGUCGAACGAAGUCUUCGGACUUAGUGGCGGACGGGUGAGUAACACGUGGGAACGUGCCUUUAGGUUCGGAACAACCAAGGGAAACUUUGGCUAAUACCGUAUACGUCCGUAAGGAGAAAGAUUUAUCGCUGAAGGAUCGGCCCGCGUCUGAUGAGCUAGUUGGUGAGGUAAUGGCUCACCAAGGCGACGAUCAGUAGCUGGUCUGAGAGGAUGAUCAGCCUCACUGGGACUGAGACACGGCCCAGACUCCUACGGGAGGCAGCAGUGGGGAAUAUUGGACAAUGGGCGCAAGCCUGAUCCAGCCAUGCCGCGUGGAUGAUGAAGGCCCUAGGGUUGUAAAGUCCUUUCGGCGGGGAAGAUAGUGACGGUACCCGCAGAAGAAGCCCCGGCUAACUUCGUGCCAGCCGCCGCCGUAAUAC